GGAAUCUUCCACAAUGGACACAAGUCUGAUGGAGCAACGCCGCGUGAGUGAAGAAGGUCUUCGGAUCGUAAAACUCUGUUGUUAGAGAAGAACACGAGUGAGAGUAACUGUUCAAUGUGUGACGGUAUCUUACCAGAAAGGAACGGCUAAAUACGUGCCA
rnacentral:rRNA from 1 species